rnacentral:lncRNA from 1 species
GGAAGAGGCGUGGUCGAGCUGGCCAGGCUUCAGUCGGCCUUGUCUCUCUCUCUGCCAGGACUUUUGCACUUAAGCCAAAUGUUUUCUUUGCCUCCCAUCCGUUUCAUGUGUUCUCUUCAGUGCUGGGUAGAAGCCUGGCCUUGGAAGAGCCCCUGUGGAUGGGGUGGAGGGGGGUGUUCCAUCCAAAUCUGUGCCCUCAAGUGGGUCCCUGCAAGGAGAUCUCAUCAACCCAGACUUCAGGCCUCGCCCUUUCUUUGCUCCCAGUGUUCAUGGGAGGUGUUAGAAACAGAUGCUCUUUGCCGCAAAGAAAAAUCAGCACCGAGACAAAGGAUCUCUCAGCAAAGCAAUUUUUACUUCCUGCAGGAAGGGUACCCUUGCCAGCCAUCUUGCCAUGACAGUACAAAAUGAACAAUGGAAAAGCAGACAUAUUUAUCCCUUACACAUUUGGGGUUGUCCUUACUGCUGUGUUUGAUCUCUGUUGGUUGGAGCCAGACCUCACAACCUAAACUAAAACCUGAUUGGCUAACAACUUAAAAGUUUUCUAAGCAGGUAGACAGUGGAGAAGUUUAAAUCAGGAGCAUAGGCUGUGAGCUGGGACAUGCCUUUGAGCACGUCUAGCACAGAUAUCUUGGAUUAAAGCACAAGGACAUAGAAUGUACUACGUGCCUGUAAGCACAUCUAACAGCUACAUAGGAUAGGGCUUAAUAGUUAUUAGCAAAAAGUAGAAAGGAUUUAUUCUUUAACAAGAAAGAAAACUUUGAAGAGGAACUUUUCUAUUUCCCACAGCAGGGGACCUCCUGACGUUCUCCAGGACCAAGUCCUCAGAGUUCUCAUUCUUUCUCAGUGACCCCGGAACACUAGGCUCCUUCCUGUAUUGACAGCUCAGAAUGUGGGAUCCACUGUCCCUUCACCCAAGACAUCUCUAUGAGCAGAGAGGCUGCGUGAGCCCCAAACCAAGUACACUCCCGUUUGGCUGGUGUUAUUCUUGAAGCAGUUUCACUGGCCACAGGGAGUGGAGAUGGGGGUGAGACAGAGGGAGAUGAGGUAUCUUGUUCCUGGGAGGAAACUGGGCCUCUUCAUGGUCCCUGUGUGAUCCCAGGAGGCUGAGCAUAUGGAGCUCUCGGGUCCCUGACCCCCGUCUGCCUCCAGGUGCCUGGAAUCAGGCAUCAUGGGCCCCUUAUCCUUGGCAGAUGGACACCGUUCCUCCCGUUUGUGCCCGAUUCAAGCCUUUUUGGGGCAAUGGGCCUCUGUGUCGUGUCCAGGUCCCCCUGUUCUCAAGUCCUCAGGGAGAAGCCCACCUCUGGUUGGGGCAGCUCCGUUGCGCAGCCCAAGACCCUGCUCUACAGGACCCUAGUGGUCCCUGCCCACCACACACCCCUCUUCUCCCAAGUCCCAGCCCACUUACAGGCAUCAGCCCACAGAGAGAACCUCUUCCUACCCUCCCUGUGUGUCUCCUGGACUAAGACUUGGGGGGCAGUGGGAGCGUGAAAGGGACAGAACUGAUCCUUCCCUGGGACCCACUCGGGAAGGAAUAGGACAGCCAGCUCCCGGCCCGGGGCAGGUCCUCAGCUCUGCCUGGGUUGCCUUACAGUGAGACAAAGCUGCCACUCGUCAGUGCCCUGGAGGCGAAGGUAAGAGCCUGACCUGCUGCCUGAGAGGGUGGUCCAGGGACAGGAGGACUCGGUGGGUGGUCAGAAGCCCGAGGGCACUGGCGGUGAUGAGUGGGAGCAAUAGGCUGCCCCUGGGAGUGGCAGCAGUUCCUGCUGGACCUGACCCCAAGACUGUCCUCGUGCUGAUUUGACCAAACUCCAAACUGACAGCAGCAGUCAUGGCCCAAGGGUCGCUGCCUGCUAGCACCAAGACCCCACCUGGAGGCUGGUACUUGGCCUGAGGACAGCGUCACAGGUGCCUGUUCGGGUCAGAGGGUCUCAGUCCCCAGGGCCUGCCUUUUCUUGGUUCUUUUUGCAGUACAGUCCCGUCAGGGCCUCAGAGCCCAGGAUACAGCACCCAAGGGCUGCUCCAGGAAACCUGGUAGCUCCUCUAACUCCAUGUCAUCACAGGGUACUGUAAACAUGUCGGAGGAUCAGAAAUACAGAGAAACGGCUCCAAAUGCUUCAAGACGGUCAGGAAUACAGGAGUGGCAAGGAGAUGAUGUGGGGAGGGAGAGCCCCCGUGACCACUCUCUACAGAGACAGGGGGACGGACUCCCAUGGCUGGGUCCUGGCACUGCCUGCCUCUCAGAGGGUGGGUGGCACACUGUCCUUAGCCAGGACAGGAGGUCUGGACAGCAGCUUUCCUAUUUGUCCCUGCAAACCUCAUCUUGCUGGAGACUGUGAUGCCAAGACCUGGGCCAGCACUAGCUCAGGGAUACCCCCUGGUGACCGGAAGGAAGGAACAGGUCAAGAUCACUAUUCACAACUCUGAAUUGUGAGAGGGGAGGUCUGGUCCUAGGUAGACCCCAUCUCUCCUGAAAAAUCAACAAAGUCUGGAGACUUCCAGAAUCCUCAGGCUCUGCUCCUCCCUGGGGCUGCCCCAGGGCCUGUCUCUCCAGAGUGUUCUGUCCCAAGUUGGCUGGGAGACGGGACACAUCUUGGUAGAUGUGUGGAUAUCAAGAAGGUAAAGGCCAAGAACCUCUAGAAAUACAAAUGUAGGACUCUUCGGAAGUCAGCCAGAGCAGGACAAGCUAGGCCAGUCCGUGUCUGGAGCCCGAGCCUCUAGUUGGAGGGAAUGCAGAGCCUGGGUUGAAGGUGGGGGUCGAAAUAAAGUGAGAUCCUUUGAGAAACACGGUGACGCCAGCACCACAGGUGAGCUGAAAUCCAGGACUCGUGGGACUGUAAGGAAGCCAAGCAGAGGGGGAGGUUUCUGCAGAAGGAACCCUUCCCUCCCAAAGGGCUGUCGUGGAUGACAGCGGCGUGGGGCAGCACCUUUUAUCUCUGUUCAGAGGCGGCUUCCUCUUCUUGGCCCGGCCCUGGAGGUCAUGCGGAUGAAAGAGAAGAGUUCCCUCGGGAACUUCCACCAGAUCAACCUGGAUGUCAGCCAUACCCUGAGAAACCACAUCAUGUUCCAGCCACAAUACAGUGUCAAGUAAGGGCCUGUGGGGCUGAAGUGAACCAGAGGCGUGGGGGCUUCACCAGAGCAGAGGCUGGUGUCACCCAGGAGGGGCGACAGAGCCACCCGCAAGCUAUCCAGGGCCAAUAAACAGCUAGCAUCAUAAACUGUCCGCCUGGCUCCAAGCCCUGGGCCUGGCUGUGACACGUGGGGCCAGAACCCAAGUGUCUCCCGAGGAGACAGACAGCGGCAAAUAAGUGAGGAAUGGUGGAAAGUGCUGUGACCCAGGGGAGGGCGGCAGGAUGGAGGGACUCGGGAGCCUUCCCAAGCAAUCAGUGACACCAAAUACCGGGAGGAUGCGGGGGCCCCGGGGAUCCUCAUCCCUACCCAGUGGGAACAUGACGGGACAUAGCCACUCUGGAAUUCCGUUGGACGGCUGCUCGGAAAAACUCAGUGACUCGUGCCACAUGUCCCAGUAGUCUCAGAGGCCGACCCAACUGAUUUGAAAACUGAUGGCCAUGGAAAACCUGCAUGCCACAUUCACGACUUGAUUCAUCGUCCCUCACAGCUGAAGGCCACCAAGGCAACCUUCAACACGGGAAUAGUAAAAUCCACUUUUACCAAAACGUUUCCUCAAACGCGGUGACCCUGGAGAGCUCAUCUGCUUACUCAGCGCAUGCUCUGGACCUGGAAUUGCAUUCAUUGUCGGAACAUAGCAGAGAGGACAAAAUGGCAUCUGUGUGAACCCAAACCCUCUUUUCUCUCUUUCCUAUUUGGCACCACCUUUGUCACGUCCCAGUGGCGUGUUCUGCGUCUAACCCCUUGAGUACUAUGGGGCUACCAUAUUUCCGGGUCACAUUCCCAUAUUCACAGACCUGGGUGUCUCGGGUGAGGGGUGUCGUUGCUUCAUUAAAAUUCAGUAUCCAACACCUACCAAGAUGCAGUGGGUACGACUCAAGCUUGCUGCUGACUUGGAUAUCCAAGC